ensembl:ncRNA F48A11.9 ncRNA
AUAAGGACUUUGUACUUUUUCACCUUUUAAAAAUAAAUAAAAUACGUGAGAUCCCCUAAAACGCUACACUUUGCCCUCAAAUUAGAGGGCCGGGUGAUUUAGAAAUUGGAAGGAAUACGUAUAAUGUGUAUGCAAAAAUGAAUUUAGAUA